GACGAACGCUGGCGGCGUGCUUAACACAUGCAAGUCGAACGGAAAGGCCCUGCUUUUGUGGGGUGCUCGAGUGGCGAACGGGUGAGUAACACGUGAGUAACCUGCCCUUGACUUUGUGAUAACUUCAGGAAACUGGGGCUAAUACCGGAUAGGAGCUCCUGCUGCAUGGUGGGGGUUGGAAAGUUUCGGCGGUUGGGGAUGGACUCGCGGCUUAUCAGCUUGUUGGUGGGGUAGUGGCUUACCAAGGCUUUGACGGGUAGCCGGCCUGAGAGGGUGACCGGCCACAUUGGGACUGAGAUACGGCCCAGACUCCUACGGGAGGCAGCAGUGGGGAAUAUUGCACAAUGGGCGGAAGCCUGAUGCAGCAACGCCGCGUGCGGGAUGACGGCCUUCGGGUUGUAAACCGCUUUCGCCUGUGACGAAGCGUGAGUGACGGUAAUGGGUAAAGAAGCACCGGCUAACUACGUC
rnacentral:rRNA from 1 species